rnacentral:tRNA from 1 species
AUCUGACUGGCUCAGUUGGUAGAGCAUAUAACUCUUGAUCUUGGGGUUGUGAGUUUGAGCCCCACGUUGGGUG